UUACACAUGCAGUCGAGCGGUAGCAGGCCUUCGGGUGCUGACGAGCGGCGAACGUGUGAGUAACGCGUAGGAAUCUGCCUGAUAGAGGGGGAUAGCCCGGGGAAACUCGGAUUAAUACCGCAUACGCCCUACGGGGGAAAGCAGGGGAUCUUCGGACCUUGCGCUAUCAGAUGAGCCUGCGUCGGAUUAGCUAGUUGGUAGGGUAAAGGCCUACCAAGGCGACGAUCCGUAACUGGUCUGAGAGGAUGAUCAGUCACACUGGAACUGAGACACGGUCCAGACUCCUACGGGAGGCAGCAGUGGGGAAUAUUGGACAAUGGGGGAAACCCUGAUCCAGCCAUGCCGCGUGUGUGAAGAAGGCCUUCGGGUUGUAAAGCACUUUAAGCAGGGAGGAAAGAGCAAUGGCUAAUAUCCAUUGUUUUUGACGCUACCUGCAGAAUAAGCACCGGCUAACUUCGUGCCAGCAGCCGCGGUAAUACGAAGGGUGCAAGCGUUAAUCGGAAUUACUGGGCGUAAAGCGCGCGUAGGCGGUUUGAUAAGUUGGAUGUGAAAGCCCCGGGCUCAACCUGGGAAUUGCAUCCAAGACUGUCAGGCUAGAGUACGGGAGAGGGGGGUAGAAUUCCACGUGUAGCGGUGAAAUGCGUAGAGAUGUGGAGGAAUACCGGUGGCGAAGGCGGCCCCCUGGAUCGAUACUGACGCUGAGGUGCGAAAGCGUGGGGAGCAAACAGGAUUAGGUACCCUGGUAGUCCACGCCGUAAACUAUGUCAACUAGCCGUUGGAAGGGUAAUCCUUUGAGUGGCGCAGCUAACGCACUAAGUUGACCGCCUGGGGAGUACGGUCGCAAGAUUAAAACUCAAAUGAAUUGACGGGGGCCCGCACAAGCGGUGGAGCAUGUGGUUUAAUUCGA
rnacentral:rRNA from 1 species